GAAAGAUAUAAAUCUUUCCACCCUCCUUGGAGUUAGUUAGGUAGACAUAUUUUAAUUAUAGUAUAAGUUAAUCACUAAGUUUGAGUUUACUCUUGGAAGUUAGCAACAUUUAAGUUUAGGGUUAGGGGUACUAGAGAAUUUGGUCUAAGAAAAGAAAAAGUCAGAAAAAUAAGAUGCCAAAACAUGGCAUUUUAAAAAAAAAUUGAUGAAAAAGAAAAGAAAAAAGACCACAAAUUUGAAAAAUCUCUAGUGUCCAAUGAAAGAAAG
rnacentral:lncRNA from 1 species